GCCAGUGUGGUGUAAUGGUUUGAGCAUUGGACUACGACUUUCGAGAUCAGAGUUCGAUUCCCUGCUUGGCCA